AGGUGUACUUUGUGAAUGCAGAAUGUUCAGCUGUUAAGCAGAAAUUGUUUUGUGUCACAUGUAUGAUUGUGUUUAUUUACUGUUAUAGGAAUAAAGUCGUUUGAGCCCCUGAUUAUUUUCUGACUAAAUCGUGUGACUUACUCACUGCGCCACAUAACCACUGAGCCAUAUAGGAGUCUGCAUCCUUACGCAGUGUGCACUGUUCAUAUUCAUUUGUGUGUCUUUGGGGUGGCAUUAUGUUUAUAUUUGGGGUGGGGGUUAAAAGUACGAACAUUCUUACACAGUCACCGCAUUUAAUGAAACCUGGCAGAGAGGUGGAGCAUAGGUCAACAAAGGACCCAUUCAACUUUGGUGUGGAUUGGGAUCAAAGAGCAGAGAUAAGAACAAAAUGCCAGGAACAUGGUCAAAAAUUACUGGAUCAAUGGUCAAUUAUCAGCAUGAAAGGUAGAUUCAGAUCAAAGGUAAGCAAAGACAAAUAAGGAUCAAAAAGCAGCAACUAUCACCAAAGAUCAGGAUCAAAGAUCAACAAUAAUGACAAAACAUGAGGAACAUGAUCUCAGCUUAGCAAUCAAGAUCACUGUUCAGUCAUCACUAAAAAAGGUCAAGAUUUAAUCAAAGGUAGGUAAACAGAAACAAGGAUCAAAGAACAGUGAUCAUAAUCAAAGGCCAGGGUAUGGAUCAAAGAUCUGAGACAAAAAUAAAAGAAAUCAGGAACACAAUCAAAACUUAGUAAUCAAGAUUAAUGGUCAACAAUCACUAUGAAAGGUCAAGAUUUGGAUCAAAGGUUUCAAUUAAUUUUUCAAUUUAUUUUUAUUUGUAUAGUGCCAAAUCACAACAAAGCUGGCUGAAGGCGCUUCACGUGAGUAAAGUCUAAUCUCACCAAACCCCUUCAGUAAGCACACAAGCAACAGCGGCAAGGAAAACUCCCUCUGGUGAUAAUGAGGAAGAAACCUCAAGCAGACUGGACUCAGAAGGGUGACCCACUGCUUAGGCCAUUCUAACAUUUACAAGGCUUUUACAGAUUGUACAAAAGUUUGUUUACAUACAGACGAGCAACAAAAACAGAGUCCUGAAUUGAAAAUAUA